UACGAGGGGGGCAAGCGUUGUUCGGAAUUAUUGGGCGUAAAGGGUAGCGUAGGCGGUUUGGUAAGUCUUAUGUGAAAUCAUACAGGCUCAACUUGUAGUCUGCAUGAGAAACUGCCGGGCUUGAGUAUGGGAGAGGUGAGUGGAAUUCCUGGUGUAGCGGUGAAAAUGCGUAGAUAUCAGGAGGAACACCUGUGGCGAAAGCGGCUCACUGGACCAUAACUGACGCUGAUGCACGAAAGCUAGGGGAGCAAACAGG
rnacentral:rRNA from 1 species